rnacentral:rRNA from 1 species
UGGGGGAGUAUUGCGGCAAUGGGGGGCGAACCCUCGACGCAGCAACGCCGCGUGAAGGAUGAAGGUUUUCGGUAUUGUAAACUUCUUUUAUUAAGGACGAAUAAUGACGGUACUUAAUGAAUAAGCUCCGGCUAACUACGUGCCAGCAGCCGCGGUAAUACGUAGGGAGCAAGCGUUGUCCGGAUUUACUGGGUGUAAAGGGUGCGUAGGCGGCUAAGCAAGUCAGAUGUGAAAUCCGUGGGCUCAACCCACGAACUGCAUUUGAAACUGUGGAUCUUGAGUAUCGGAGAGGUAAUCGGAAUUCCUAGUGUAGCGGUGAAAUGCGUAGAUAUUAGGAAGAACACCAGUGGCGAAGGCGGAUUACUGGACGACAACUGACGGUGAGGCGCGAAAGCGUGGGGAGCAAACAGGAUUAGAUACCCUGGUAGU